rnacentral:rRNA from 1 species
CACGUAGGUGGCAAGCGUUGUCCGGAUUUAUUGGGUUUAAAGGGUGCGUAGGCGGUUCCAUAAGUCAGUGGUGAAAUACGGCAGCUCAACUGUCGAGGUGCCAUUGAUACUGCGGAACUUGAGUGUUGAUGAGGCAGGCGGAAUUGACGGUGUAGCGGUGAAAUGCGCAGAUAUCAGGAAGAACACCCGUGGCUAAGGCGGUUCUCUAGUACGGUACUGACGCUGAGACGCGAAAGCGUGGGGAGCGAACAGG